CGCGCCGCGCGCAGGGGGCGGAGCCGGGAGCGGCCCCGCCCCCGCCCCCGCCCCGCCCCCCCGGCCCGUUCUGGGGGCGCUGCCUGGGCGGGGCCGGGGAAUAUCAGCGGGGCUGGACUGAUCUGAAGUGCCGCGAGCGGCCAGCUGGGUGAGGUGACGCUGUGGCUGGACCGUGUCCGUUGGUGGAAGAGAAGCGUUGGAGCUCCACAGAGCUUCUCCUCAGGUCGGGGAAGGUUCCGAGUGGAGCCGAAGCGUGAGAAAUUAACCCCUGUCGCCAGACGCUCUUCCAGCUGAAGUGGGCCGUGACCGCCGCUGCGCUCGUCGGAGAAUUCGUGGAUUACAGAUGGUUCCAGUGAGACCUGUAACCAGCGUCUCUCUUUUUUUCUUGGUUUGGUUGUUGAGAGCCCGAUUUGUAGAGUCUAGCAACGUUAUGCAUUUCAGCUCCCAGGCUCGUCUUUUGAAGGGGUUUUGCAGGUUUCCUUCGCGGGCUCGGCCUGAGAGGGAUGGCUUGAAGCUCACAUCCGCAACUGACAGCCUGUCACCAUGAUUCAAAAUUGAAGAUGUUUCCAGUACAAAGGACGGAAUGAUUAAAGGAGGUAAGAAAAUCACUUGAGACUCUCUCUCUCUCCCUUUUUUCUGGGCUCAUGACAUCAACAACUCCUGAAGAACGGAACUUGGGCAGCAGGAAAGGGUGAGGGGAGCCCUGGCGGAAAGGGCCGCCAGCCUGUCUCAGCAUAUGGGGAAAGAAACAUUUGCUUUGAAUCCGUUUUAGUUUGUUAACUUAGACGUUAGCUUGUGUUUUAUCUUGCAUUUCUUUUGUAAACAAUUCUGAUUUUUAUGCCUCAUUACCCGUCGUCACUUAAAAUCUUUUCUUUCGGUGGUUAAUAAACCUGUUUUAACUAACCAGUGUGUUUGGAUUAAAGUGUACGGGAAACUCCAUUUGGGAUAAUAAGGCUUAUGUAUGUCAUUUUCCAUUGACGAAAUGACAGACUUUAUAGGAGUAUCCAUAGUGUGCUGGAUACUGCAAGAAGCACGUUUCCGGGGAAAAGUCUCAGACGAGUGAAUUUGCUAGUAUUGUCCCCUGGAAUAAUUUCUGAGUGGCUGACUAAUAUAGUGUUUCUCAAAUGUGGUCACCAGGGGCUUUUCUUACUGCCACAGCAUCCUGGGUGGUGAUUGGGGGAGGUAAAGCAGCAGCCUAUCCCCCAGGGCUGGCAGCAGGGAUUGGGCCCUGUCCCCAUUUCUGGGCAUGGUGGGGCUCGGGCUUCAGCCCUGGGGUGGCAGACUCUGGUCGUGGGGGUUCAGGCUCAAGCCACACAGCAGCGGGCCUCAUUCCAGGCACUCCAGCUGUGGGACCCCAAGAUGCAGCCGUGGGGCUUACGGCCCCGGCAUGCGGGGGGUGCCGGUUCCGGGCUCAACACCCCACAUCUCCCCUGGCCCCUGCUACCUCUUCAGGGUCUGGUCCCUGGCUUCAGCUGGGCAGUGACAGGCUCCGGCCCUGGGAUCCAGCUGUGGGGCUUUGGGCUCUGGUCCUGGCCACAUGGUAGUGGGUGCCAGCCUGGGCUCAAGUCCCCCUCCCCAUUGCCCCUGGCGCCCACUAAGGGCUCCGGUCCCCUGCUGCAGGACUUCAGGCUCCAGCCCUGGGUCCCGGCCACAGGGCUUUGGGCCCUGGCCACACGACAGUGAGUGCCAGCCCCAGUCUCACCCCCAU